ensembl:snRNA U4 U4 spliceosomal RNA
AGCUUUGUGCAGUGGCAGUAUCGUAGCCAGUGAGGUUUAUCCGAGGUGUGAUUAUUGCUAAUUGUAAAAUUGGGAAUUUAUUGAAAUGGGACAAUUUAUUGCAAAAAUGAGAAAUUUGCUAGAGCUUUUGUGUU